rnacentral:rRNA from 1 species
GAGUAACGCGUAUCCAACCGUUCCCUAUAGUAGAGGAUAGCCCGGCGAAAGUCGGAUUAAUACUCUAUGUUUUCCGUUGCAGACAUCUAAGAUGGAACAAAGGCUUGCCGCUAUAGGAUGGGGAUGCGUCUGAUUAGGUAGUCGGCGGGGUAACGGCCCACCGAGCCAUCGAUCAGUAGGGGUUCUGAGAGGAAGGUCCCCCACAUUGGAACUGAGACACGGUCCAAACUCCUACGGGAGGCAGCAGUGAGGAAUAUUGGUCAAUGGACGAGAGUCUGAACCAGCCAAGUAGCGUGCAGGACGACGGCCCUAUGGGUUGUAAACUGCUUUUAUGCGGGAUAAAGUUCACUACGUGUAGUGUUUUGUAGGUACCGCAUGAAUAAGGACCGGCUAAUUCCGUGCCAGCCGCGGC